GUCCGGCAGCUGGUCCUCAUUUCCCACGCCGCAUCCCCACGACCCCACUUCCCGGCCUCGCGGGGGUGCCGUGAGGCCAUCUGUCGACGGCUGCGGGGAGCGUGUGCGCUUCGCGGAGGUUGGCGACGUCGCCUUCUUCCCCUCCUUCCUCGCCGAGCCCGUUCGCACCGCCGUGGAUGGGCUGCUCUGGGAGGACCCGGCAUCCGCCACAUCCGGUGGGUUGAGAACCUAUCCGCAUUCCUCGUGCAGGCGCCCGCAUUGCCCGCCUCCGAUACAGGUUGAUUGCAGACCAAAUGUUCCUCGGCUUACAGUCAUCUGUACGGUUGUACCUGCAGAUUGGUUUCAGGUGACAGAGAUGUUUUUGUGUGAAAUUUCAGAAAUUCACACUGCUAUUCUGAGCAACCAACAGCACACAUACAGCAGCAAUGAUUUCGCACUGCUAUUCAGCAGUUUCAGCCUUUUAGUUACCUUGCUGAGAAACAUCUACAGUAGAUGAUCGAUCAACACGAUGGGAAAAAUUUAGUGUCUGUUUUGCUUCUGUUUCCCAGCUUGUUGCUGCCCUUCCUUUGGUCAUUGUCCAUACCAUGGGCAAUAUUUUCGCAAACAUGAGCCUUGGAUAGGGAGCACAUCUACACAUACUAUCAAGGCCAUGGCCAUGGUACCUUUCCUUCUUCCUUGGCCAGGAAAACUAACUUGUGCAAGAUUCAGAACGACUGAUUAAAGAAGGAGAUUAUGUUGUAUUAUAUGAAGGAAGGGCGCAGGAAGUCGCAAUCCGCAGGCCAAUAGUGUAGUGAUGAAAUUGUAGAUGUAGACGGCUCCUGUAUUGAGAGGAUCAAGUGUCACAGGAUCGUCAAUAUUGUGCAUCGUAUUUCUUUUUAUCGAAAUAUAUAUGUACGUUUUGAAAGGAGGUAUCUGUACUUGUUUGGUUCAGAAAUAAAUAUGUGAUUGCUUCUCUGAUUCCUUUAA